UACCAAGGCUACAGCAAAGAGGAA
rnacentral:piRNA from 1 species